UACGUAGGGUCCAAGCGUUAAUCGGAAUUACUGGGCGUAAAGCGUGCGCAGGCGGUUUUGUAAGACAGGGGUGAAAUCCCCGGGCUUAACCUGGGAACUGCAUUUGUGACUGCAAGGCUAGAGUGCGGCAGAGGGGGGUGGAAUUCCACGUGUAGCAGUGAAAUGCGUAGAUAUGUGGAGGAACACCGAUGGCGAAGGCAGCCCCCUGGGCCUGCACUGACGCUCAUGCACGAAAGCGUGGGGAGCAAACAGG
rnacentral:rRNA from 1 species